ensembl:misc_RNA 7SK 7SK RNA
GGUAGUGAGGGCAAUCUGGAUGUGACCCGGGUCACCCCACUAAUCACCACGGUUGAUUAGGCUGAUGUGGCUGGUGUCCUCUUCCUCCCUUACUGCUCCAUGUGCAUCUACCCUGAAGCUGUGUGCUUUGUCAAAGAUGAUGGCCUUUCCUGAUAGAGAAGUACCAUACUUGGGUCAAGAGUAUAUGAGUAGCUGCACUCCCCUGCUAGAACCUCCAUACAAGCUCUCAAGGAAUGUGGUAUAAACAGCAAGGCAUAGGAUGUUAAGAAAAUAAUGCUUUUUAUUAUUUUUU